AUGUCUCUAUCAGGUGCAGAGGUGUACUGCAAGCCCAAACUUAGUGAUGGGAUAAAGAAACUCGUUCAAUUCAACAAGAACUGGAGGUGGCUGAUUUGGGGUUUCCAAAGUGGUAAAAUACAGCGCCACCAAAACCACGGAUCACCACCUUGGUCUCAACCAAGGAGCUUCACGCCCCACCUCAUCAGAACCCACCUCCACAAAGACCCAUCUUCAAUCUCCGACGUUCUGAGAUUCUACACACUAUCUCCACCAUACUUAAACAAUGCCCACUUCCUCUUCAAUCAAAUUGUACGACCCACAUUGAUGAUUUGGAACCUCAUGAUCCGUGGAAUAUCGCAGAGUGAAAAACCCGGUGAAGCGAUUCGUAUGUAUAGCAGAAUGAGGCAACAAGAAUUGGUUGGGAACAAUUUGACCUUCAUAUUCAUCUUCAAGGCCUGUGCUCGAGUUUCGGAUGUUGUAUGUGGCCAAAAGGCUCAAGCUUGUGCUUUGAAACUUGGGUUUGAAUCGUAUAUGUAUGUUUCUAAUGCUUUAAUUCGUAUGUAUUCGAGUUGUGGUGAUUUGGGUUUUGCACAGAAGGUGUUCGAUGAAAUGCAUGAGAGGGAUUUGGUUUCGUGGAACUCUUUGAUAUGUGGGUAUAGUCAGGGUAAUAGGUAUAAGGAGGUUUUGGGUCUUUUUGAGGCGAUGAAGAUAACAGAGAAUGUGAGGGCUGAUGCGGUGACGAUGGUGAAAGUUUUUUUGGCAUGUGUUCAGUUAGGUGAAUGGGGAAUUGCGGAUUGUAUGGUGAAGUAUGUGGAAGACAAUCGUGUUGGUGUUGAUGUUUAUUUGGGGAAUACGAUGAUAGAUAUGUAUGGGCGGCGUGGUUUGCCGCGUUUGGCUAGGGAAAUUUUUGAUAGGAUGCGUGAAAGGAAUGUAGUAUCAUGGAAUGCAAUGAUCAAUGUAUAUGCAAAAGUUGGAAAUUUAGUUGAUGCAAGAAAGCUUUUUGAUAGGAUGCUGAAUAGGGAUGUGAUAUCUUGGACUUCCAUGAUCACGGGUUAUUCUCAAGCUAACCAACAUGCUGAGGCGGUGAGUCUUUUUCGCAAAAUGAUGGCAGCUAAUGUAAGGCCGGAUAAAGUGACAGUGGCUAGUGUGCUUUCUGCUUGUGCCCAUGCGGGUUCACUCGAUGUGGGAGAGGCUGUGCAUGAGUAUAUAAGGAAGCAUGGAGUGAAAACAGAUGUUUAUGUAGGGAAUGCUUUGAUAGAUAUGUAUUGCAAAUGUGGGGUGGCUGAGAAGGCAUUGGCAGUGUUUCAAGGGAUGGAUAAGAAAGAUUCAGUGUCAUGGAUUUCGGUGAUAUCAGGCCUUGUGGUAAAUGGUUUUGCAGAUUAUGCACAUGAUUUCUUCUCACAUAUGUUAAAAGAAGGUAUUCGACCAACUCAUUCAAGUUUCGUUGGGAUUUUAUUAGCUUGUGCUCAUGCUGGAUUAGUGGAUAAGGGAUUGGAAUAUUUCGACAGCAUGGAAAAAGUUCAUGGACUAAUACCAGAGAUGAAACACUGUGGGUGUGUUGUGGAUCUUUUGGGUCGUUCUGGUAAACUGCAGGAGGCAUACGAGUUCGUGCAGAAUAUGCCUAUGGUACCAGAUGUUAUAGUAUGGAGAAUUUUGCUGGGUGCUUGUCAAGUUCAUGGAAAUUUGGUUUAGCUGAGAUUGUGUCAAACAAGCUUAUCGAAUUGGACCCUUCUAACAGCGGGAACUAUAUUCUCUCAUCAAAUAACUAUGCACUUUCACAUAGAUGGGAUUGUGUUGCAAAAAUGAGAGGAUUGAUGGACGAGUGCAACGUGCAGAAGCCAUUUGGUAGUAGCUCCAUUGAAAUUAAUGGUGCAUUAUAA